UGUAAAUUGACCAUAUGCGAGAGAAGGAAGGAAUUGCAGUUUUAUUCCACAUCAAGAUCAUAUCUUCGUAUGCCUAACUACUGCCUGCGUAACUAUACAUAGUAAAAUAUUAUAAGAAAAAUACCAUUCAACGUUGAUGAACGAUAAUCGAAGAACAAUAAUGCAUUUUCCAAGGACAAUGACAUUACGAAUUUUGUCAUUCCUCCAACUAGGUAGGGUACUCGAUGUACGUAGACAUAUAUGGAACAAUUGAUCAAAAAGAUUCCACGAUGUUAACAUACCCUAUCAACGGUAUACCCCUUUAGCUUUCCUUUCACGCCUAAUAUAAUAUCUAAAAAUAUCCACACGACCGACCCACCAUCCAUACGUAUGCUGAUGACAGAUACCGGCUGCUGCUUCUGUAGGUACUGUACAGACGAAAGACUACACAAUUGUUUUCCUACAUCGUCGCGUCUACAGAGACAAAGUAUAUAAGCUGUACAUCUACAUAUGCGAUGGUAAUGCUAACGUAAGCUCCGUUCAUUUCAUACCGUCGUCGUGUUUGUGUAUAUUUAAUUCAUCCUCAUCUCGAAAAUACAUAUACGCGAUGAAGGUGGGUAGCACAGCCACAGACUUGCAGUCUGCCGGUUUCCUUCUGACAACAACGUGUCUAAUUUGACGGUCUUUUCCAUCGUGGUUGUCAGAAGAAAACCGGCAGACUGCAAGUCUGUGCACGAUAGGUAUAAUACAUGGAAAGAAGAUGGCCAAUGGCGCUCUCUACUAUAUACGAUACUAUACGCCAAGUACUGCUGUUUUACUACAGCCACGACGGCUGCCUGCUUGUUCACUAUAUCGUAAGAGUUUUUCCUGCUCUGCUCCAUCGUGUACGUAUUGUUACUACACCAAUAACCUAAUUACUGUGAAGACCUCCGUGGUCUACUAUUAAAUAAUUUAAAACCAUAAUAAAAUACAGAAGGUUAUUUACCUCGUGUAGUUCAA